CUGCUCUAACUGCUAGCUUCCACUUCCCUCUCAAAGUUGGGGAGAGAACCCAGGAGUCCUGGCUCCCAGCCCCCUCCUCCCCCGGCUCUAACCAUUAGACUGAGGAUCCUUUUCUUUGUCUUGCAGGUCCUGUUAACGCACAGAGAGAUUGCACUGGCUGCCCCCAGCUGAGCGGGGGGCUGAUUGCGGGGCUGGUCAUUGGGGACCUGCUGCUGACGCUGCUCAUCGCUCUGGCUGUCUACUGCCUGGCUGGCAAGAUCCACCGCCAUCGGGGGAGCGCACAGGGGGAGGUCAAGAAGCCCCCCACCCCUGAGACGGAGUCGCCGUACCAGGUGAGCAUGACCUGCUGUUUCCACUGGCCCCCCGCCCCUCAACCCCACAAUGUAUCACGACCAGGCUU
rnacentral:lncRNA from 1 species